AUGGAUAUUGAAACAUGCGUCCUCUGCACUGCCCAUGAGGAAGAGACCAUUGACCACUUGAUCUUUAAUUGUCCUUUUAGCCAAACUUGUUGGUCGAAGAUUGGUAUCUCAUACAAUUCUGACAUCUCACAGAUUGAGGCUACAAUUAGGGCAAAUGAAAUUUAUUCUGGCAGACUUUUCUUUGAAAUCUUCACCAUUACUGCUUGGAAUAUUUGGAAGGAGAGAAAUAACUUCAUCUUCAAUCAGAUCAAUCCUUCAUAUAGAGCUUGGCUUGAGAGAACUAAGGUUGAUCUUACCUGGCUUAGAUACAGAGUGUCCCCUGAUCUCAGUGAUUAUAUCAUUUCUUUUGUAAAUUCACUUUAG
rnacentral:rRNA from 1 species